rnacentral:rRNA from 1 species
CCUACGGGAGGCUGCAGUGGGGAAUAUUGCACAAUGGGGGAAACCCUGAUGCAGCGACGCCGCGUGAGUGAAGAAGUAUUUCGGUAUGUAAAGCUCUAUCAGCAGGGAAGAAAAUGACGGUACCUGAUUAAGAAGCCCCGGCUAACUACGUGCCAGCAGCCGCGGUAAUACGUAGGGGGCAAGCGCUAUCCGGAUUUACUGGGUGUAAAGGGAGCGUAGACGGCAGCACAAGUCUGGAGUGAAAUGCCGGGGCUUAACCCCGGAACUGCUUUGGAAACUGUGCAGCUAGAGUGCAGGAGAGGUAAGUGGAAUUCCUAGUGUAGCGGUGGAAUGCGUAGAUAUUAGGAGGAACACCAGUGGCGAAGGCGGCUUACUGGACUGUAACUGACGUUGAGGCUCGAAAGCGUGGGGAGCAAACAGGAUUAGAUACCCGAGUAGUC